rnacentral:rRNA from 1 species
CCUACGGGAGACAGCAGUGAGGAAUAUUGGUCAAUGGACGAGAGUCUGAACCAGCCAAGUAGCGUGAAGGAUGACUGCCCUAUGGGUUGUAAACUUCUUUUAUAUGGGAAUAAAAUGUUCCACGUGUGGGAUUUUGUAUGUACCAUAUGAAUAAGGAUCGGCUAACUCCGUGCCAGCAGCCGCGGUAAUACGGAGGAUCCGAGCGUUAUCCGGAUUUAUUGGGUUUAAAGGGAGCGUAGGUGGAUUGUUAAGUCAGUUGUGAAAGUUUGCGGCUCAACCGUAAAAUUGCAGUUGAAACUGGCAGUCUUGAGUACAGUAGAGGUGGGCGGAAUUCGUGGUGUAGCGGUGAAAUGCUUAGAUGUCACGAAGAACUCCGAUUGCGAAGGCAGUUCACUGGACUGCAACUGACACUGAGGCUCGAAAGUGUGGGUAUCAAACAGGAUUAGAUACCCUUGUAGUC